AUGAAGUGGCGCCAAGCUUCUGGCAUUCUCUGUGACAAGAGAGUGCCACAAAAGCUAAAAGGCAAGUUCUACAGGACGGCGGUUCGACCCGCAAUGUUGUAUGGCACGGAGUGUUGGCCGACUAAAAGGCGACAUGUUCAACAGUUAGGUGUGGCGGAGAUGCGUAUGUUGAGAUGGAUGUGUGGCCACACGAGGAAGGAUCGAGUCCGGAAUGAUGAUAUACGAGAUAGAGUUGGGGUAGCACCAAUUGAGGAGAAGCUUGUCCAACAUCGUUUGAGAUGGUUUGGGCAUAUUCAGCGCAGGCCUCCAGAAGCUCCAGUGCAUAGAGGACGGCUAAAGCGUGCGGAGAAUGUCAAGAGAGGGCGGGGUCGACCGAUUUUGACAUGGGAGGAGUCCGUUAAGAGAGACCUGAAGGAUUGGAGUAUCGACAAAGAGCUAGCUAUGGACAGGGGUGCGUGGAAGCUUGCUAUCCAUGUGCCAGAGCCAUGA
rnacentral:rRNA from 1 species